rnacentral:rRNA from 1 species
AACGAACGCUGGCGGCAUGCCUAACACAUGCAAGUCGAACGAGACCUUCGGGUCUAGUGGCGCAAGGGUGCGUAACGCGUGGGAACCUGCCCGUAGGUUCGGAAUAACUCCCCGAAAGGGGUGCUAAUACCGGAUAAUGUAUUCGGACAAAAGAUUUAUCGCCUUUGGAUGGGCCCGCGUUGGAUUAGCUAGUUGGUAGGGUAAAAGCCUACCAAGGCGACGAUCCAUAGCUGGUCUGAGAGGAUGAUCAGCCACACUGGGACUGAGACACGGCCCAGACUCCUACGGGAGGCAGCAGUGGGGAAUAUUGGACAAUGGGCGAAAGCCUGAUCCAGCAAUGCCGCGUGAGUGAUGAAGGCCUUAGGGUUGUAAAGCUCUUUUACCCGGGAUGAUAAUGACAGUACCGGGAGAAUAAGCUCCGGCUAACUCCGUG